UCAGGCUCCAAGCUAGCCAUGGAGCCCUCCGGCAGUCAGAGCGGGACUGGCGCGGCUUCUGCACCCGCGGACUCAGCGUCGGCCUCGGUGACCCUGGCGCAGCUCCUGCAACUGGUCCAGCAGGGCCGGGGACUCCCCGGCCUGGAGAGGCGCCACGUCGUGGCGACCCUCGGCGAACCCACGGCGUCCCGGCUCCCGCGGAGGCCCAAGCCCUGGGAGGCCUCGGGCUCCGCCGACGCCCCCGCGCCGCCCUUCCAGACCCGGGGCCACAGGCCCGACGACCCUCCCUAUGGGCAGAGGACCCUCCUGGAAGAACCUGGCUCCGGGGAGGCUGCGACAGCGCCUUCCUAGAUGGAACAUAGUGGGUUCCUGAGGCUCGAGGUCCUUUGCAACUGUGAAUGAAAAAUGUUGCUGCCCUAUCAGCAAAGGACGCUGCAGCCAUCUAGCCAUCAGCCAGUACUGCGGCCCCGUCGGUGAGCCGUAGGGAACCCAGGAUGGAGACAAAUGGGCUGCCGCUGCCAAGCCCUUAGCCACUGCAGACACUGUCAACGGCGCACCCUGAGGGGGCUCAAGAUGGGAAAGAACAGGAUACUGGCCUUGGAUAGCUAAGGCGCAUAUCAAAGGCAAAGUUCAACAGUUUUGGUGACCAUGGAGGGAACCAGAGCAAACUUCUCCUCUUCGCCUGAACUCUACGAGGAACCGGACACUUGGUACUGGAAGAGGCCUCUUGUGCCCAUCCGCCUCCUUGGAGAGUUCAUACGAACUUGGAUCGACUGAUUAAAAUUUUUCAUCGACAUGCUUGGUGUAGUCAGCAGGAUAUCAGAGACUCCUGCCAGAGGCCACCGGGAGUCUAUGCAGAACAAGUGCUCCGUGCCAGCAUGGGCCCAUUGAGCCCCACCUGCUUCUCAGCACUCCCCAGGUGUUUUUGAGCACAGGCUCCAGACGCGCAGGUUCAGUAGUUGUGGCUCACGGGCCCAACUGCUCCGCGGCAUGUGGGAUCUUCCCAGACCAGGGCUCGGACCCGUGUCCCCUGCAUUGGCAGGCAGAUUCUCAACCACUGCGCCACCAGGGAAGCCCUGAACAAAACUUUUGCUAGUGAAAUCAGAGACUGAAUUAUUCAGCGCCAAAGAAUAAAGGGACAUUUUGCUCCUUCCAGCCACAAGCCAUCCUCAGAUGACUGAGGAUCUUUGGGAAGUGUCUGAGGAUCAAUUUUCAUGACGUGUAGCGGUUCCAUAGGGAAAUCCCAUUACAGUCAUUAAGUAAGUACUGCUCAUCCAGGCGGCGUGACAGAGGCUGAUCACCUAGUGUUCCGAGCACCCAAGAUGGUUUUAGGCUGUCAUUGCGAGAAACUGAGCCACCUAAAAGAAGUCGAACCAGGGAAUUCUCUGGUAGUCCAGUGGUUAGGACUCUGUGCUUUCACUGCCGGAGGCCCAGGUUCAAUCCCUGGUCAGGGAACUAAGAUCCAGCAAGCCACAUGGUGCAGCCAGAAAGAAAAGGUUAGUAUCUGCAGAUUUUGGUAACUUGAAACUAAACCAAGGUAAAUUACGAGAAUUCAUUCACUAUCCGGGUCAUUUCAAACAGGAUAAAAUUCUGGAACAUUAAUUGCUGGGGAGGUCUAAGUUCUUAGAAGAGGAAAACUAAAGCAUAAGCAUAAGUUUGUCAAUCAGGAAAUGCUGAUAUGACAAACAGCAUUCUUAUUUUUUUUGGCUACACCAUGUGCGGCAUGCAGGAUCUUAGUUCCCUGACCAGGGAUUGAACUCGUGGCCCCUGCAGUGGAAGCUCAGAGUCCUAACCACUGGACCACCAGGGAAUUCCAGAAAAAAAUUAAGGUUUUAAGGUUAAGAAUUAUAAGGGAAACAUUUCAGUAUGCAAGGAAGUAGGAUGUGUGUUUUCAGCAAAGAAGGUAUGAGGAUUGAAAAUGCAUUUGGUUAAAGGAAAAAAGGUUUUGUCCUAGACCUGGUUGUUUCUGAAUAGAUACAGAAAGUUGUGGAAAGUUUGUGGAAAAGGAACAGUGUGAGAGUUUUGUGCAUGGUCAAAAUUGGCUGAGAUAAGAUUGAACUUAAUUAAGGAAAUGUUUUAAAGGUAAAGUGGUACAAAACCUGAAUUUGGUCCUCUCUCUAAGAGGACAAAGUUUUCUUAAAAUAUUGAACUGCUUU